ncrna:unclassified sequences S15-Halobacteria ribosomal protein leader
GGUGGGAACGCACGACCGCAAAUCUGACUCGCCGUCUACUUGGGCGGCUUGGGAUUGCGGGAGUGU